CUCUUCUGCGCCAUCAUAAUCAUGUUUAAGGAUUACACCUGUAAAAUAAAAUAACUCUGUUGCUGGACCCAUUUUUCUAUGAGGUAAAGUAAGCAAAGCCAUUUUCCGUGUAAGUGUCGAGCGGGGAACAUUAAACUCCCGGGAGGCAGAUUUUUUA